ACUCCUACGGGAGGCAGCAGUGGGGAAUAUUGCACAAUGGGCGCAAGCCUGAUGCAGCCAUGCCGCGUGUGUGAAGAAGGCCUUCGGGUUGUAAAGCACUUUUCAGUUGUGAGGAAGGUGGUGUCGUUAAUAGCGGCAUCAUUUGACGUUAGCAAACAGAAGAAGCACCGGCUAACUCCGUGCCAGCAGCCGCGGUAAUACGGAGGGUGCGAGCGUUAAUCGGAAUUACUGGGCGUAAAGCGCAUGCAGGUGGUUUGUUAAGUCAGAUGUGAAAGCCCGGGGCUCAACCUCGGAACUGCAUUUGAAACUGGCAGACUAGAGUACUGUAGAGGGGGGUAGAAUUUCAGGUGUAGCGGUGAAAUGCGUAGAGAUCUGAAGGAAUACCGGUGGCGAAGGCGGCCCCCUGGACAGAUACUGACACUCAGAUGCGAAAGCGUGGGGAGCAAACAGGAUUAGAUACCCUGGGAGCACAGAG
rnacentral:rRNA from 1 species